rnacentral:rRNA from 1 species
CAGAGGUUACUGCUAUCGAGAUUCGACKRAGCYRYGSGAGUUGWRUGCUSUUCGYGAACRUGGCKGACUGCUCAGUAACACGUGGACAACCUACCCUUGGGUCCGGCAUAAUCCUGGGAAACUGGGAAUAAUUCCGGAUAGGUCACCGAUGCUGGAAUGCGCGGUGGCCGAAAGCUCCGGCGCCCGARGAUGGGUCUGCGGCCUAUCAGGGUUGUAGUGGGUGUAACGUACCUACUAGCCUACGACGGGUACGGGUUGUGAGAGCAAGAGCCCGGAGAUGGAUWCUGAGACACGAAUCCAGGCCCUACGGGGUGCAGCAGGCGCGAWAACUUUACAAUGCGGGAAACCGUGAUAAGGGGAUCUCGAGUGCCASCAUAUAAUGUUGGCUGUCCRGAUGCCUAAAAAGCAUCUGUUASCAAGGGCCGGGCAAGACCGGUGCCAGCCGCCGCGGUAACACCGGCGGCCCGAGUGGUAACCGCUAUUAUUGGGUCUAAAGGGUCUGUAGCCGGCCAGGUAAGUCCCUUGGGAAAUCUGGCAGCUCAACUGUCAGGCUGCUAGGGGGAUACUGUUUGGCUUGGGACCGGGAGAGGUGAGAGGUACCUUGGGGGUAGGGGUGAAAUCUUGUGAUCCUCGAGGGACCACCAGUGGCGAAGGCGUCUCACCAGAACGGGUCCGACGGUAAGGGACGAAAGCUAGGGGCACGAACCGGAUUAGAUACCCGGGUAGUCCUAGCCGUAAACGAUGCUCGYUAGGUGUCAGUCACGGUGCGACCGUGAUUGSUGCCGUAGGGAAGCCGUGAAGCGAGCCACCUGGGAAGUAUGGCCGCAAGGCUGAAACUUAAAGGAAUURGCGRGGKAGCACYMCMACSGGUGGAGCCUGCGGUUAAUUG